CAGCACUUCAAUAGAAUUCUACAGGCAGUAGGAGAGUUCUUAGGAUUAUGAUUUUAAUACAUCGAUACUAUAAGAAUUAUAUUUAAGUCAAAUUUAGAGAUAUCUCAGUAUAGCUUAAAAUUACAUUCAAACUCCUCCCCAUCACAUCCCUGAAGCAUUUUAAAGGGCAGUGCUGUUUACUUCCUAGUCAUAGAUAUUUUUUCUCUUGAAUUCUUAAUACAUUAAAUGGGUUUAAGUAUAUUAUCUGGCAAUUUUGCUGAAGUCAUCUACUAAGCUUUAUAAGAGCUCAAAAGAUUUUCAAUUUAUUUUCUAAAUUUAAAACCCAUAGCAGACUUACAGGAACACUAUUUUCAUGGUUCAGAGUAACAUAUGUCAUAAUUUCAUUUUUAAGCAAAGUAAAAGGAUUUGCUUCUCUGGUUUAUCAUUUUAAAUACUAAGAUCUCUUCUUAAAGUUAAGGAAUGUCUUAGCUAGGAUACAGUGAAUGGAAAUAAAUGUUUUAGACUAGUGACAGAUCUGGGGUCAAGACCAAAGCCGAAACAAAACCAUGACGUUAGAAUAUAGGCCAGUGCUUUAUUCUUUUGUUAUUUCUUGGAUAUUUUGAAACAAAAUCAUAUAAUACCUAUCAUUUAAAAUUCAGGAAAACCAAAUACAGAUUUAAAUUCGGCCUUUUCUGAUAAUGUUAAGUAGAAUUAUUUAUAACCUUACACAUGUUAAAACUUCUAGAUACUAUAAUAAAAUUUAAAUUAUAUUUGACAUCUCAGUCUUUGCUCAGUUGAUGUUCUUUGAAUCAGGUCUCUGUCCUGCUAUUUCUAUUCUUCCCAGCAGGUGGCACUGGUGUGACCCUCGUCUGCAUCAGGGUGUGAGGAACCGGGGGAGCCGGAGGGACCAGAGAACAUUUUCCAAAUUAUGUUUCUUCAGCAGACUCUAGGUGGCCACGUCACAGAUCUACACUGCUAUCACUGCAGCUCUUUUAUGUACAGAGAAACUUUCAAAAAAGAAUUAAUUGGAUUUUGUGAAAGAAAAACAUGUUUCCUGUCUUUGGAGUUGUUCGUUCCAAGUUUACAAUACUCUGCUUCCCUUCUGAUCUCCAACUAACCUUUUGAGUCUGUUUUUUAGACAGCUUUGAGUUCUGCUCUUAAUUAUGUCUCAACUCUGUUUAAACAGAUCUUCCGGGUAGUACAAACGCAGAAGAUUAAACCUAUCAAGCAAGAGAAAUUGUUUGAGCCAUGGAGGGAGGAGAAAGGUUGAGAUGUUCAGAGGAACAGGAAAGCAUGCUGGAGAGAUUCUGAGGCUGACCCAGGGGUUAGCAGAUGAGAUUUGCCCUCAUAUGUGUGUUGUGUUCUUCCCAGGAGUCCAUUCCAGUUUGCUCCGGAUCUCUGCAGCUGGGCAAAAACAAAACAAAACAGCAACAGAAAAAAAAAAAUUGGUGCAGUCCAAAGAUUUCAUUUUACAAAUAAGGACACGGAAUCACAGAAAGAUUGUGUUUAACACAGUGCAAUUAAAUCCUGUUUUCAGUUGUUGUGAAAGGACACACAGAGACUUAUCAAAAAGAUAUGCUAAGUUCCAAGUCAUAGGAAAUAAAAACUCAAUUUUGAAAAUUAGAAUCACUUUACUUAAGAUUUCUUUUCUUAGGCAUAUAUUAUUUGGAGUCACUGUGUUGUCUAAGAAACUGUCUGGUCCCACAAUGAAUGGAUCUGUGUUUGUUGAAUACAGUAGUCAUUAUUCAAGUGUGACUAAUUCAUUAUACAUUAAUUCAAUUUUAAAAAUUAAUUAACGUAAGUAAAGUGAAAAAUUUAGCUCUCCCAUCUAGCCACAUUUCUCCAUCUCGACAGCCCAUGUAGUUAGUUAAUGGCUACCAUACUGAGCGAGGCACAUGAGAAUUUUCCAUCUUUGCUGAAAUUCCCUUGGACAGCCCUGCAGUCGGUCAUUAGCUGUGGAGAGCAGGGAAAGAGGGCAAUACAAGGUCAGGUAAUCCAGUCUGCAGUAGCCAAAAGUAUUUGUUUCAUAAUUUACUUAGGUUCAUAAGCAAAUUUACAACCAACUGUGGAAAACUAUGAGGUUAAUGUCUUUUUAUGUCCUCUCCUUGCUUUCAGCUGUUUAAUUUUCAAUAUUUUUUUUUUACUUUUGGGUGUUCAGUAAAUCUGAGUGCCUUGUUUAGUUCCUCUUUUUUCCUUAUUCAAUUAUAUUUCAAAAUUUCCAUUGAAUGACUACUGCCUAUCAGGUCUUGCGUUUAGGCGAUAGUAAGCCUCAAAUACAUUGUGAUGAUGAAUGUAAUGGGCAGGGGACACAUAUUUCCACAGCCUAAUCAAGACAGAGAAUGAACUUUCCAGACCAUUUUAAGUAUAAUUAGCCCAGUUGCACUGAUUAGCAAGGGGAAGUUUAGUCCAAGGUUUUAAGCUGCUUAAAAGAGUACAGGUGGUUUAAAAAUGUGCCCUCAGACUGGAGUCCCUGGGCUCACUCUCAGCAGAGUUCACUUUCCAAUCCCUCUGUUACCAGCCUCAGAGUAGAGACUGGUUUAAGCCAACUUCUCAGUUUUCUCCAAUGCUUGCCAAGGAACCGUCAAAAAAAGGUCAUGGUUUAUAUGCAGCAACAUUCUUUUUCCCUAAAUUUUAAGUUUUAGAAUUUCUUUGAAUAAAGACAGAAUAAUAUUUGUGUUUUCACAUAAAAUCUCCUUUAAAUUUCUGAGCCACAUUAUAGAAUAUUCUUGACUUAUAAUGAUCUAUGCUUGAUGUUUAUUAAUACCCUGAACUCUUAGAGGUUUAUAGAGCUUAAAUGGAAAUUAAAUGAAUGUUUUCUCUCCAAAUGUGCUGGGGAGGGGAGAGAGGAGAGAGAGAGAGAGAGAGAGAGAGAGAGAGAGAGAGAGAGAGAGAGACAGAGAGACAGAGAGACAGAGAGACAGAGAGACAGAGAUAAGCCUUAUCGCAUGGCAGAUGGUAGAUGAGCUGACUCACUUGACUUUUUUGGACACCAUGCAGCAUCAGUAGCAUAUACUUUUCCACUUUUAGGUUGUUUUGUUCCUUUAUGUAUUAUAGUAGGACUUAUUUAGGGACAUGAGAAUUCAGAUAUUAUUCUAAUUCUAGGUCAUACAGGUUUUCUCUUUACAGAAGCACAUACUUGGAAAUUUGGUGGCACCAUGCAAUCAAUGAAAUGGAUUUCAUGGACCCCAACCAUUUUUUUUAUCUGAAAAGGUUCACUCCAGCUGAGUGUCACUUGGGAGGGGCUCUUAAGGCUAAUAUAGUAGAGAAUGUUCCUCACACACAUAAGUUACAGAAAAAUGUCAAAAUUUUGGAUGAAUUUCAGACACCAUGUCUAAGUGCAAUUCUUUCAGUCAUAAAUUAUGUUAAAAUGGGAAGGUAUUGCAUUUGCUGUUACAAAAAUAAUCCUAACUAAAGAUGACCAUUAUCUUCAUCAGUAGAAACUCUCUAUAAUGCUUCUUAUUGCAAACAUCAGAUUUACCAUCCAGAAUUUAACCUAGUGAAACUUUUCUCUGGCUCUGGAGUACUUCUUGAUAUUGUCAUAUGUUUUACUUUGUCAUAUUCUCUUGCCAGAACAAACAAACACAAGACAAACCAGAAAAACAUCCUCUUUUUUCUCUCAGUUGGUCAUACUCUUUUCUUACUAAUUCAUCCAUUUCAAUUUGGAAAAUCUGCCCUUUUGGCAUCUACAAUUCACUUAUUCCUCUCUUUCAAGAUUUUCUCUUAGGGUCUCAGAGUUUUCAUAACCCAAAAUACUAUUCAUGCAUUUUAAAAUUAACCUUGAAUAAUAAAAAUACAUUCUUGCACUGAAGCCUGGAGUGUAAAAAGUGAGCCUUUCCCUGGCAAAACAUUUCUUGGUUAUGUGGCUUUGGGCAAAUUACUUUAUUUCACUGGACUCCAGUGUUUCUAUUUGAAAAAUUCGAUAGAAAACAUUGAAAAGAAACCUGUAUUCCCGGCAUUUUAUUUCUGAUAUUUUUUUUAAGAGUCUAAUAAGAAACAUGUAGUAGUUGGUAAAUUUUUUCCCAAUUGGUUGCCUGUCAGAGCAUAAAUCAAGUAUUCUUUUCUUCAAUGUUAUCACUAAUGAAAGUGUUUGUAGAAACAAAGCUUCUGGUCAAAGAUAAAAUUCAUCAGAAUGGGAAUUUUUAUAACUGCUGAGAUUAGAAUUGGAAGUUUUGCAAAGUAAAUAUUUUCUGAUAUACCAGGUUAAACAAAAAACAAUGGAAUGGGGGAGAACAUGGUGGACAGAUAGCGGCAGCAGCUAUGGAGGCUCUCUGAAAGACUCGGCUUAGAAAUUAGGAAUGGUGCGGACUAAGGAGUCAUAAGCAGGUGGAGAUAUGCUCUGCUGACCCAGGAACGAACUGGGCUGAGAGAAACCAACUUGGAAUGCAGUCCUGGUGCUAGAACAGGAACAGAGGGGCCUCAGUGUGGAGGCUGGAGCCCGCGCCAUUGGAAGCCGCGAUUUGGGUUUCCCGCCGCACGGCAGCUGCAUCUACAUCAGCUCAGCAGAGAGAGAGACCUGAGAACGGGAAUCGGCGAACAGAAUUGAAAACAGGACAGGUGAGGAGCUGUGCAUUGACUUGCAGUGAGAUCAUUUUCCGCUGCUGACUCACGUCUGUUCAACCUCGAAAAGUUUGACCUUUUGAUUUCCUUCUUGCUUUCUGGUUAAGCUCACUCAAUCAAGAGGCUUUAAAAUACCAAGUAGAAGCCAGUGAUUCAGCUACUAAGGAUAUUUCAGCUAUGAAACACGAGGAAGAAUGACACUGUUAUCUAGAGGAAUCUCACUGAAGUAAGAAGCUUUUUAUCAACAUCUUAAAUUUGAGCCUGUUAUGGCUUCUGAGUAGGUAAUUUGUAAUUAAAAAUUUUAUUAACAAAGAGAUGUAAUUUAUGCAUAUUAUGAUCCAUAUACCUGUUACAAGGGAAAAUGGCUUCAUAUCCAACAGUUGUGAUUCACAUUGGGAAGAAACAACACAAAAAUAUUAUGCUAACACAUAACAGUGAUAGCCUGUAAAUAAGGGUCCAUCUUGUUCAUGCUGAAAAAAAAAAAGCGAUUUCCGGUUUGAACAACAGGGUUCAAAUUUGCCAGAAUUUAGUAUACAAUUUGCUGUUUGACAAUGGUGAGUGCAUUAGCAUAAAGCUCCCACUUAGUCUGGCAGAACUAUUUCUUUUUCACGCUCAGAUAAAUCACAAAGGAAACAAAUGAUCAUGUUUAUUCCAAAACCAUGAACUGUUUUCUUUUCUUUCCCAUCCAGUAAA